UAGUCCAGCCACUCAAGUGAAGACAAAUCCCUCUUACAUUAGUAUUUACUUAAAAGCCAUCUCCUUUGCUAGACACUACCUCUUACGCAGACAGUGCUGAUGUCUUUUUCACACUUUGCUAUAACCACAGAAGCUUGAGGUGGCCCAGUCAUGAGAGUGCUUCCGAUGCCCUGCCAAAGGUUUAGAUGUUCCUCUCACUGCCCCUACAUGGUAGGGGCAGGCAUGAAAUUAACCAAUUCACCCCCCACCCCCAGUGCUCCAACCUGCCCCCUCAACCUGCAGCUCCAGAUCCUUUACAACUCUGCCAACCAACUGCUAACCAGGCCUGACCCUGCUUAGUUCACUUCCAAUUCUGAGAUAACAGGCAAUGAGGGUGUGUUCAGAAUGGUAUGACCUUGGAGCUUUCCAGAGGCAACUUCAGCAAGUCCAAGCCACUGCAAAGACAUCCAGGUAGACUCCUUCCUGUGCUCCCAUCUCAGGUGAUCUGUGUCCCUCCUGCCUGCAAGAGACCUUUCUCCUGCACACUACUGAGUUUCCCUGCGUGGGCAUCCGUGUGAUGUGGAGAAGAAGCAAUGUUACACAAGCCAUCAGUCAUAGGCCGUGGCCCUGGACUAUCAUUGCCAUCUCUGUGGAAUUAUGCCAGUCUGUGCCGCUGUGGUGUCUGGAGCACCACCUAUGGACCUCAGGAGAGGCAGAGGGCAGUCUAUAAAGGAGGUCUCCAGAUUGUGUUUCCACAGGUGGAAAACAUCGGGAUCUGAAACGAUUGUUGUGAUUCCCAGUCAACUCUGCACUGCUGAGGUACCACUAGCUGGAAAUUGGGAAUGGGGUCCACAGUAUUGUGUUUCCUCUUAUGGCGUCCACAUGCCAGUCAGGAAGGGGAAGGCAGAUCCAGGGACUGGGGUGGAACUUGGUUUCUUUCCAAGUGAGUGCAGAGAGUACUGAGGGGCUGGGAGAGAGAAGGCCUUGUCUGGGAGAUUUAGGCAUGACUCUUUAUGACUAACCUUCCCCAGUCCCCAACACCAUCAUUGAUUAACAGAUGGUCCUCAUUUGUCCAAACUGCUUUAUUGUUUUAUUUGAUGGCCAAUGUAAAUACACACGUUACUCAGAGUGAACCAGGGAUUAAAUACCUUUUGUAGGAAGGAAUGACCAGGAAGGGAAGCCCAAUGGCUGAACACUUGUGUGUGUGUGUGUGUGUGGGGGGGGUGUACCUAGAUACCUCAUUAGCAAGGAGAACUCCAGGCUUUUAUGCUAAGUUUUUGAUUGUCAUGGUCCUCUCAGUGAGGUGCCCAUAGUUACAGAGUAGGUGGAGUUUGGUAGGGAGCUGGGCCCACACCCAGCACUCAAUUCUGCAUUUCACAGGGUCUCGGCUUCCUCACCUUGACCAGUUCUUCUGUUUGGUGGCACGAUCAGUCCAUUUGCUCCUCAGAGUUAACAUCUGAUCUUUUGCUACCCAGCUGUAGAUUACCCACUCUUUUCCCAUGAGGGCAGCCCUUGGGCAUGAUCUAUUCUAGAACCAGUAGCAGAGGAGUCUGGGAGAUGGAAUUUUCUAGCCCUUGUGAUUCCACACAGAACACACAGAAAGGUAGCCGCUACACAGCAGGCAAUUUCCUGCAGAGACCCAAUCUCAAACAGCAAUUAGAAUGAGUGCUUUGCUUUGCAUAGGUGAGAUAGGUUCUCCUCUAGAAGGAGCCUGGCUCCCCAGCUCACACAGGCUUGUCUUAUGAUCCUUGUGUCCUUGGGCAACAGCAGCAGAAGCCAUUUCCCCAGCUCCUCCCAGGAAGACACACAUGCUUUGUGAUGCUCCUUAGACCUUACACCAGCCAGCCCAUGAGGGGAGGUUUGUAAUUUGCAUUUUAAACAUUAGGUUGGACAAGUGACAGAGCAACUGAUCGGCGGGACUACUGUCCAAAUCCAAGCCUGGUGGACUCCUGUCACAUCUUAAUCUUCUGUGCUCAGAUUUUUAAUUCCCAGGGCUACUGGAGUUUUAGUAUGAUCCUGGACGCCCACCUACACUUUUGUGUUUAGUUCUUCAUCUUCAGGAAUACCGCGUUCACUCUUCUACACUGGCUCCUGUUCCCUUACUUUUUUUUCCUCUUCUUUCUUUUUUGUAACUUUUGUUAAAUUUGUCCUUUGAUAACUCGAUUGACUCAACGGAUAUAGAGCAUUCUGCCUCUCACAUCUCUCUUCUCCUCUUUCUCCUGCGCUUCCCCACCUCUCCUCACGUGUCUCUGUCGCACAUCCAUACUGAUGUCUUUUUUGCUUUGUUUUGUGACCCACUGAACCUGACCGAGGUCAUCUGUGUGACGAUGGAACCAUUUGGAAGUAUCCACUGGAACUUGAUGAAGUCAACAGCGGGAAUACAACUGAAACCUCUGGUUGUCCCCUCUCUGAAACCUUCAGUAGUGCUUCUUAUUUUCACCAGGCUCCUGUGUCAAGAACAAGUCCUACACAGCACCAAACGUUUACUGGUGAGAAGCCCCGGCAGAGGGGAUUUGCCUCAUAAUUUCCCUGAGUCAGAGAAGGUGUGGGAAAGAGGAAACAAGACAGCUCAUGUGUUGAAGAUCCUGGCGCUGCAGAAAGCAUCCAUUCAGUUCUUCACAACCUGCCUGACAGUUUUCCUAAUGAAACACUUCAGUAUCUUUUUAACGGAGACCUUCCUGCUGAGAUCCAGGCGGCAUUGUGGAGCCAGAAGCAGAGGCAGCUUCUAGCUGUCCUUGUUCCUAAGCAGCUGGUGACCUCAGGACUUCAGGACCUGGCUUUCAUGGUCAUGCCCUGUUGACAGAAGACAUCCCAUCAGGCUGCAGACACCUGACCUUUCUCUCUGCCGUGCUCCACCCACUAGAUGGGGUGACAAGGAGAAGCCUGCGAACAGCUAGUGGGCUUAGAACUGGAGGGCUCUCAUGCACACAUAUCACAAGGCAUCCUGGUCAAAGAGGGAAGGGAACCAAGGGACGAUCCCCUUGUCCUUCCCAGGAAAUGUAGCAAGGGCAAGAUGUCCCAUUCCCACCCUUUGGGCAAGUUGUUUGCCUGUCUGAGCCUGUAUUUCCUAAUGCCUAUGAAAGGCAGAAGAGACAGAAAUAGAAACUCAUGCUCUUAACAUUCGAAGCAAACAAGCUAAAGGUUAGCUUCCCAAAUCCUACCCCCUUUGAAGACUGAUGGAUGAGAUUUGCUAAGUUUGCUACAGGCAAGGAAACAAGCAAGGGCUGAAGACUAUAGAACUCCUGCCACACUAGUACUAAAGUAAUCCCAUGACUGGAGGAGGAGGGGUUGGAGGAGGAGGAGUGAGAGGAGGAGGAAGAAGAGGAGGACGAUGCCUACAACAGCAACAACUAUGAAGGGUUUGGAUGAACAGUUGCAGACUGUCUGCUCAUUGCCACUCCUCAACUUUCCCAGAGAGUGGUAACAAAACCAGUGAGAUCCAAGUGGGUAAUGCAAAUGAGCCUGGGGUGCUAGGGGUUUGUGCGGAAAGCAUCAACAUUAUUCCUUGCUUCCAAAAAGAUGCGUUUUCCACUUGCUGGGAAAGCCCCUGUGGGUAUGUGUUUUGUUUUCUCAAAUUCCGUAGAUUCAGAGGCACAGAGAAACACUUCUGUGCACGAUAAGCACAACACUGAAAUGCAUGCUCUAAUAGCAAUGGUGGAAGGAGCUGUGAAUUGGAGAUCCUCUUUGCUUUGCCUAGCAAAGAGCCUAGGUUGUGCAGCCCCAGCUGUGCUGUUCCCAGUACAGCUGCUGCCUCCUCCUUCUCCUCUUCCUCCUCCUCUUCCUCCUCCUUCCGCAUCUUCUGCCUUCUCUCU